UAAUUCAGGAGCACAACAAGCCAAGUUCAAAAGCGAUUUGGAAGAAGCUGCAAAAUUCUCAGACCCCUCAGGGGAACUCGGUGACCCCGAACAAAGUAAAUCAUCAGCAGAACCUGCAAAUCAAGCAUUGUACGGAGAGAUAAGUGAGGCUUUCAUCUCACGUGAUAACCAUCAAAAUAAGUUGUACACAGCAACAAUUGAUGAUCCAGCCAUCAAUUUUGAGCUACAGGUUCAAAUUGAAGAGAGCAACUACAAUAUGCAGCGAGUAG
rnacentral:misc_RNA from 1 species